GUAGCCCUUUACACCUAAUGUCAGCCAAAAACCACACACUGUCCGUUCAGCAUGUUUGCUGUUCUUUAGAACUGAACUCUUGACUUGAAUAUCUCAGAGUUGUGAUGGAUGGGUCAUCUCUCUUCAGCUCAACACAAGAUGAUGAAAAAAAUUAAAAGAAAUUCAAUCAUGGCAGAAGAUCUGUGGAGCGUCACAGACCAUCACCGAGAAUUCAACUAAAAGAAAAAGAAAAAAUGCCAAACCAAGAGAGCAAGAGACAAUCUUCAGGACCAGGAGAGAAACAGACGCUGAGACUAACCAGAAGAAACAGCAUUAACAGCGGAAUACCAAACUUUUGUGAUGAUCCAGACAGUUUUAUUCUGAGUGACUCUCAGACGAGGCUUUGUGAGAAAAAUUCACCAAACAAAUAAAAUAAAACCAAACAAGAAUUGUAAUGAAGAUAAAACAAAUAAGAAUAAAUGCUGAGCUCACACUCAGCAUCACCCACGCCACGCAAAUCAUGCACUCGUAUAUUUGACACACCUGCAUUUACAGUUUUUUCAAUACCUUUAAAAACAUUCCUAAACUCUUAACACAGUUAGCACAACAUCCGUCUCUGUACAAUUAACACAUUUCUUGUUGCUUUAACACAAAAUGCAUCCAGUUAACACCCAUUUAAAAUGCUUGAACUUCUUUUACACUUUUUUUUUUUUACAUAAAAUAUACAUUUUAUAAAGCUAUUCUGAGAUGGUCAUUCAUUUUUUGAAUUGAAUUUCUGCAGCAAAAGAAACAAAAUGCAUGCAUUUACAACCCCCCCCCCCCCAAAAAAAAAAGUCUAUUGUAUAAGAGCAGACCUGAUGCAUACAAUAAAGCAGUUUCUGUCAUUUCAGCUGAUGAUAGUGUUUUUGUCAUUGUGUUAUGAUUGACUAAAUGUUCCUGUUGGAAGAGAACAUGUGUUAGUGUUUUGAAUGAUUAUUUGAUUUUGAAACAUUAGUUUUGGGGUUUAGUUUACAGUGUGUGAUUCUUAGCAUGAAAUGAACCGUUUUGCCAGUUGGUGCGUUAAGAGUUUAGGAGAGCGUUUAUUUUAGCUGCAGCUGGCUGGGCUCUUUAAAAAGCUUAGUCUUGGAUCAGUUUGGUCUUUUUGUUUCUGUUUUUGGUUUGGUUCGUACCCUGUGUGUGUGUGUGUGUGUGUGUGUUCUGACUGGAAUAUUUGAGAAUAGUUUUAAAGUAUUUCUAUGUGUUUUGUUUAUUUCUUUGCUUUGGUCUGUCCAGUCCUCCCCUUUUCCCAGAAUAUUAUUGUUUAUUAUUUACUAUAAUAUUGUUUAUUUUACAAUAUUACCAUGGCUAAAUAAAAGCUUUGUUUUUAUACGGUA